rnacentral:rRNA from 1 species
GACGAACGCUGGCGGCGUGCUUAACACAUGCAAGUCGAACGGAAAGGCCCCUUUGGGGGUACUCGAGUGGCGAACGGGUGAGUAACACGUGAGUAACCUGCCCUUGACUUCGGGAUAACUUCAGGAAACUGGGGCUAAUACCGGAUAGGAAUCCUUGCUGCAUGGUGGGGGUUGGAAAGCUUCGGCGGUUUUGGAUGGACUCGCGGCUUAUCAGCUUGUUGGUGGGGUAGUGGCUUACCAAGGCUUUGGCGGGUAGCCGGCCUGUGGGGGUGACCGGCCACAUUGGGUCUUAGAGGCGGCCCAGACGCCUACUGGAGGCAGCAGUGGGGAAUAUUGCACCAUGGGCGGCAGCCUGAUGCAGCAACGCCGCGUGCGGGAUGACGGCUUUCGGGUUGUAGACCACUUUCAGCAGGGGCGAAGCUUGUGGUGACGGUACCUGCAGAAGAAGCACCGGCUAACUACGUG